rnacentral:rRNA from 1 species
CCUACGGGUGGCAGCAGUGGGGAAUAUUGGGCAAUGGGCGCAAGCCUGACCCAGCAACGCCGCGUGAAGGAAGAAGGCUUUCGGGUUGUAAACUUCUUUUCUCAGGGACGAAGCAAGUGACGGUACCGGAGGAAUAAGCCACGGCCAACUAUGUGCCAGCAGCCGUGGUAAUACGGAGGUGGCAAGAGUUAUACGGAUUUACUGGGUGUAAAGGGGGUGUAGGCGGGACUGCAAGUCAGAUGUGAAACCCACGGGCUCAACCUGUGGCCUGCAUUUGAAACUGUAGUUCUUGAGGACUGGAGAGGCAGACGGAAUUCCUGGUGUAGCGGUGAAAUGCGUAGAUAUUAAGAGGAACACCAGUGGCGAAGGCGGUCUGCUGGACAGCAACUGACGCUGAGGCGCGAAAGCGUGGGGAGCAAACAGGAUUAGAUACCCGUGUAGUC